AAGACAGUACCAGGUCACUGUUUUUGAGGCAUGACAAAGUGUCUGGAAAAACGCGAGGUUGGAGUUAG
rnacentral:pre_miRNA from 1 species